rnacentral:rRNA from 1 species
GAUGAACGCUGGCGGCGUGCCUAAUACAUGCAAGUCGAGCGAACAGACGAGGAGCUUGCUCCUCUGACGUUAGCGGCGGACGGGUGAGUAACACGUGGAUAACCUACCUAUAAGACUGGGAUAACUUCGGGAAACCGGAGCUAAUACCGGAUAAUAUAUUGAACCGCAUGGUUCAAUAGUGAAAGACGGUUUUGCUGUCACUUAUAGAUGGAUCCGCGCCGCAUUAGCUAGUUGGUAAGGUAACGGCUUACCAAGGCGACGAUGCGUAGCCGACCUGAGAGGGUGAUCGGCCACACUGGAACUGAGACACGGUCCAGACUCCUACGGGAGGCAGCAGUAGGGAAUCUUCCGCAGUGGGCGAAAGCCUGACGGAGCAACGCCGCGUGAGUGAUGAAGGUCUUCGGAUCGUAAAACUCUGUUAUUAGGGAAGAACAAAUGUGUAAGUAACUAUGCACGUCUUGACGGUACCUAUCAGAAAGCCACGGCUAACUACGUG